rnacentral:rRNA from 1 species
CCUACGGGGGGCAGCAGUGAGGAAUAUUGGACAAUGGUCGAAAGACUGAUCCAGCCAUGCCGCGUGCAGGAUGACUGCCCUAUGGGUUGUAAACUGCUUUUAUACGGGAAGAAAAACACCUACGUGUAGGUGACUGACGGUACCGUAAGAAUAAGGAUCGGCUAACUCCGUGCCAGCAGCCGCGGUAAUACGGAGGAUCCAAGCGUUAUCCGGAAUCAUUGGGUUUAAAGGGUCCGUAGGCGGGCUAUUAAGUCAGAGGUGAAAGUUUGCAGCUCAACUGUAAAAUUGCCUUUGAUACUGAUAGUCUUGAAUUGUAGUGAAGUGGUUAGAAUAUGUGGUGUAGCGGUGAAAUGCAUAGAUAUCACAUAGAAUACCGAUUGCGAAGGCAGAUCACUAACUAUAUAUUGACGCUGAGGGACGAAAGCGUGGGGAGCGAACGG